rnacentral:rRNA from 1 species
UACGUAGGGCGCAAGCGUUUAUCCGGAAUUAUUGGGCGUAAAGAGCCCGUAGGCGGUUUGUCGCGUCUGCCGUGAAAGUCCGGGGCUCAACUCCGGAUCUGCGGUGGGUACGGGCAGACUAGAGUGAUGUAGGGGAGACUGGAAUUCCUGGUGUAGCGGUGAAAUGCGCAGAUAUCAGGAGGAACACCGAUGGCGAAGGCAGGUCACUGGGCCGCAACUGACGCUGAGGAGCGAAAGCAUGGGGAGCGAACAGG